rnacentral:rRNA from 1 species
UGUCUGAAUAUGGGGGGACCAUCCUCCAAGGCUAAAUACUCCUGACUGACCGAUAGUGAACCAGUACCGUGAGGGAAAGGCGAAAAGAACCCCGGCGAGGGGAGUGAAAAAGAACCUGAAACCGUGUACGUACAAGCAGUGGGAGCACAGGUUUACCUGUGUGACUGCGUACCUUUUGUAUAAUGGGUCAGCGACUUAUAUUCUGUAGCAAGGUUAACCGUAUAGGGGAGCCGUAGGGAAACCGAGUCUUAACCGGGCGUUAAGUUGCAGGGUAUAGACCCGAAACCCGGUGAUCUAGCCAUGGGCAGGUUGAAGGUUGGGUAACACUAACUGGAGGACCGAACCGACUAAUGUUGAAAAAUUAGCGGAUGACCUGUGGCUGGGGGUGAAAGGCCAAUCAAACCGGGAGAUAGCUGGUUCUCCCCGAAAGCUAUUUAGGUAGCGCCUCGUGAAUUCAUCUCCGGGGGUAGAGCACUGUUUCGGCUAGGGGGCCAUCCCGGCUUACCAACCCGAUGCAAACUGCGAAUACCGGAGAAUGUUAUCACGGGAGACACACGGCGGGUGCUAACGUCCGUCGUGAAGAGGGAAACAACCCAGACCGCCAGCUAAGGUCCCAAAGUCAUGGUUAAGUGGGAAACGAUGUGGGAAGGCCCAGACAGCCAGGAUGUUGGCUUAGAAGCAGCCAUCAUUUAAAGAAAGCGUAAUAGCUCACUGGUCGAGUCGGCCUGCGCGGAAGAUGUAACGGGGCUAAACCAUGCACCGAAGCUGCGGCAGCGAACGUAUCACCCAAGACAACUUUACGGAGUUGACGAUUGACGGAGCGAAGCGACGUCAAAGCGUUCAUUAAAGUCGAGUUGGCUUAGGGAUACGUUCGUUGGGUAGGGGAGCGUUCUGUAAGCCUGUGAAGGUGUGUCGUGAGGCAUGCUGGAGGUAUCAGAAGUGCGAAUGCUGACAUAAGUAACGAUAAAGCGGGUGAAAAGCCCGCUCGCCGGAAGACCAAGGGUUCCUGUCCAACGUUAAUCGGGGCAGGGUGAGUCGACCCCUAAGGCGAGGCCGAAAGGCGUAGUCGAUGGGAAACGGGUUAAUAUUCCCGUACUUGGUGUUACUGCGAAGGGGGGACGGAGAAGGCUAUGUUGGCCGGGCGACGGUUGUCCCGGUUUAAGCGUGUAGGUGUGUGUUCCAGGUAAAUCCGGUUCACUUUAACACUGAGGCGUGACGACGAGGCACUACGGUGCUGAAGCAACAAAUGCCCUGCUUCCAGGAAAAGCCUCUAAGCAUCAGGUAACAUCAAAUCGUACCCCAAACCGACACAGGUGGUCAGGUAGAGAAUACCAAGGCGCUUGAGAGAACUCGGGUGAAGGAACUAGGCAAAAUGGUGCCGUAACUUCGGGAGAAGGCACGCUGACACGUAGGUGAAGUGAUUUACUCAUGGAGCUGAAGUCAGUCGAAGAUACCAGCUGGCUGCAACUGUUUAUUAAAAACACAGCACUGUGCAAACACGAAAGUGGACGUAUACGGUGUGACGCCUGCCCGGUGCCGGAAGGUUAAUUGAUGGGGUCAGCGCAAGCGAAGCUCCUGAUCGAAGCCCCGGUAAACGGCGGCCGUAACUAUAACGGUCCUAAGGUAGCGAAAUUCCUUGUCGGGUAAGUUCCGACCUGCACGAAUGGCGUAAUGAUGGCCAGGCUGUCUCCACCCGAGACUCAGUGAAAUUGAACUCGCUGUGAAGAUGCAGUGUACCCGCGGCAAGACGGAAAGACCCCGUGAACCUUUACUAUAGCUUGACACUGAACAUUGAGCCUUGAUGUGUAGGAUAGGUGGGAGGCUUUGAAGUGUGGACGCCAGUCUGCAUGGAGCCGACCUUGAAAUACCACCCUUUAAUGUUUGAUGUUCUAACGUGGACCCGUAAUCCGGGUUGCGGACAGUGUCUGGUGGGUAGUUUGACUGGGGCGGUCUCCUCCUAAAGAGUAACGGAGGAGCACGAAGGUUGGCUAAUCCUGGUCGGACAUCAGGAGGUUAGUGCAAUGGCAUAAGCCAGCUUGACUGCGAGCGUGACGGCGCGAGCAGGUGCGAAAGCAGGUCAUAGUGAUCCGGUGGUUCUGAAUGGAAGGGCCAUCGCUCAACGGAUAAAAGGUACUCCGGGGAUAACAGGCUGAUACCGCCCAAGAGUUCAUAUCGACGGCGGUGUUUGGCACCUCGAUGUCGGCUCAUCACAUCCUGGGGCUGAAGUAGGUCCCAAGGGUAUGGCUGUUCGCCAUUUAAAGUGGUACGCGAGCUGGGUUUAGAACGUCGUGAGACAGUUCGGUCCCUAUCUGCCGUGGGCGCUGGAGAACUGAGGGGGGCUGCUCCUAGUACGAGAGGACCGGAGUGGACGCAUCACUGGUGUUCGGGUUGUCAUGCCAAUGGCACUGCCCGGUAGCUAAAUGCGGAAGAGAUAAGUGCUGAAAGCAUCUAAGCACGAAACUUGCCCCGAGAUGAGUUCUCCCUGAGACUUAGAGU